UACGGAAGGUGCAAGCGUUAAUCGGAAUUACUGGGCGUAAAGCGCGCGUAGGCGGCUUCGUAAGUCGGGUGUGAAAGCCCCGGGCUCAACCUGGGAACUGCGCUCGAUACUGCGGAGCUCGAGUACGAGAGAGGGGGGUGGAAUUCCAGGUGUAGCGGUGAAAUGCGUAGAUAUCUGCAGGAACACCCGUGGCGAAAGCGGCGCGCUGGACCACUACUGACGCUGAGGAACGAAAGCUAGGGGAGCAAACAGG
rnacentral:rRNA from 1 species